AGUUGGUCGGAGGGUUGUGGGUUAUUGUUAAACUGAUUAACAUUAUCUCCCGCGAACCCGGGAGGCGGAGCUUGCAGUGAGCUGAGAUCCGGCCACAGCACUCCAGCCUGGGUGACAGAGCAAGACUCCGUCUCAAAAAAAAAAAAAAAAAACAUUAUCUCCCCCCACAGCCAUACUUGAUUAGCUUUGU
rnacentral:Y_RNA from 1 species